rnacentral:rRNA from 1 species
UACGUAGGGUGCAAGCGUUGUCCGGAAUUAUUGGGCGUAAAGGGCAUGUAGGCGGGCAUUUAAGUCAGGGGUGAAAUCCCGAGGCUCAACCUCGGAACUGCCCUUGAUACUGGAUGUCUUGAGUCCGGAAGAGGUGAGUGGAACUGCGAGUGUAGAGGUGAAAUUCGUAGAUAUUCGCAAGAACACCGGUGGCGAAGGCGGCUCACUGGUCCGGAACUGACGCUGAGGCACGACAGCGUGGGGAGCAAACAG